rnacentral:rRNA from 1 species
UGCUCUUUAAUGGAUAAAACACCUUAAUCUUACUUUAGUUUGUUAAAUCAGUUUGUAUACCACUAUUAAAAUAAUAAUAUACUAUUAUUAUUAUAAUAUAACUUUUUUAUAAAAAAUUAAGUCAAGGUGCAGCAUAAAUUAAAGUAUGAAGUGAAUUACAUUGCUUAUUAGAAAGUAUAAAUGAAAUGAUAAUUUAGGAUUUGAAAGUAAAAUUGAAAUAGAAAGUUAAUUUGAAUAAAGCUCUAGGAUAUGUACACAUCGCCCGUCGCUCUC